rnacentral:rRNA from 1 species
UACGUAGGGGGCUAGCGUUGUCCGGAUUUAUUGGGCGUAAAGAGCGUGUAGGCGGCCUGACAGGUCUGCUGUGAAAACUCGAGGCUCAACCUCGAGAUGUCGGCGGAAACCGUCUGGCUAGAGUCCGGAAGAGGAGAGUGGAAUUCCUGGUGUAGCGGUGAAAUUCGUAGAUAUUAGGAAGAACACCAGUGGCGAAGGCGGCUCACUGGCCCGGUACUGACGCUGAGGCGCGAAAGCGUGGGGAGCAAACAGG